rnacentral:rRNA from 1 species
AGAGUUUGAUCAUGGCUCAGAUUGAACGCUGGCGGCAGGCCUAACACAUGCAAGUCGAGCGGUAGCACAGGAGAGCUUGCUCUCCGGGUGACGAGCGGCGGACGGGUGAGUAAUGUCUGGGAAACUGCCUGAUGGAGGGGGAUAACUACUGGAAACGGUAGCUAAUACCGCAUAACGUCUACGGACCAAAGUGGGGGACCUUCGGGCCUCACGCCAUCAGAUGUGCCCAGAUGGGAUUAGCUAGUAGGUGGGGUAAUGGCUCACCUAGGCGACGAUCCCUAGCUGGUCUGAGAGGAUGACCAGCCACACUGGAACUGAGACACGGUCCAGACUCCUACGGGAGGCAGCAGUGGGGAAUAUUGCACAAUGGGCGCAAGCCUGAUGCAGCCAUGCCGCGUGUGUGAAGAAGGCCUUAGGGUUGUAAAGCACUUUCAGCGAGGAGGAAGGGUAGUGUGUUAAUAGCACAUUGCAUUGACGUUACUCGCAGAAGAAGCACCGGCUAACUCCGUGCCAGCAGCCGCGGUAAUACGGAGGGUGCAAGCGUUAAUCGGAAUUACUGGGCGUAAAGCGCACGCAGGCGGUUUGUUAAGUCAGAUGUGAAAUCCCCGCGCUUAACGUGGGAACUGCAUUUGAAACUGGCAAGCUAGAGUCUUGUAGAGGGGGGUAGAAUUCCAGGUGUAGCGGUGAAAUGCGUAGAGAUCUGGAGGAAUACCGGUGGCGAAGGCGGCCCCCUGGACAAAGACUGACGCUCAGGUGCGAAAGCGUGGGGAGCAAACAGGAUUAGAUACCCUGGUAGUCCACGCUGUAAACGAUGUCGAUUUGGAGGUUGUGCCCUUGAGGCGUGGCUUCCGGAGCUAACGCGUUAAAUCGACCGCCUGGGGAGUACGGCCGCAAGGUUAAAACUCAAAUGAAUUGACGGGGGCCCGCACAAGCGGUGGAGCAUGUGGUUUAAUUCGAUGCAACGCGAAGAACCUUACCUACUCUUGACAUCCAGAGAAUUCGCUAGAGAUAGCUUAGUGCCUUCGGGAACUCUGAGACAGGUGCUGCAUGGCUGUCGUCAGCUCGUGUUGUGAAAUGUUGGGUUAAGUCCCGCAACGAGCGCAACCCUUAUCCUUUGUUGCCAGCGAUUCGGUCGGGAACUCAAAGGAGACUGCCGGUGAUAAACCGGAGGAAGGUGGGGAUGACGUCAAGUCAUCAUGGCCCUUACGAGUAGGGCUACACACGUGCUACAAUGGCGUAUACAAAGAGAAGCGAACUCGCGAGAGCAAGCGGACCUCAUAAAGUACGUCGUAGUCCGGAUUGGAGUCUGCAACUCGACUCCAUGAAGUCGGAAUCGCUAGUAAUCGUAGAUCAGAAUGCUACGGUGAAUACGUUCCCGGGCCUUGUACACACCGCCCGUCACACCAUGGGAGUGGGUUGCAAAAGAAGUAGGUAGCUUAACCUUCGGGAGGGCGCUUACCACUUUGUGAUUCAUGACUGGGGUGAAGUCGUAACAAGGUAACCGUAGGGGAACCUGCGGUUGGAUCACCU